rnacentral:lncRNA from 1 species
CGGGAUGUCCACCUUGGCCUUGAGCUCCUCCACCGCCUCAAUCAGCUUGAUCACCUUCUCGUCCACCGUGUUGCCGCCCAGGCCCAGCAUGUUGGCCAGGUCGGCGUAGUCCUAGUAGGGGGAGAUGUGGGGCGUGUGGUGGUGGUGGGUGGAGAAGGGGGUUGGCAACUUGUGGUAACUGGCAAUCCCAUCGGCGACAGGUGAUUCACAGACACGACAUGAACAUGGUGUGGCAUGCGUGCGGCGCCGCACUGCAACGGGCUCUCAUCUCCUGCUGCGCCCUCACCUGCUUGGCGGUGGGGUACUCGUACUGCGGGAAGGCGGCCUGCUUGGCGGGCAUGUCGGUGGCGUUGUAGCGGAUGACGUGGCUGAUCAGCGCGGCGUUGGCCAGGCCGUGAGGCACGUGGUAGGCGGCGCCCAGCUUGUGCGCCAUGGAGUGGCAGAUGCCCAGGAAGGCGUUGGCGAAGGCCAUGCCGGCAAUCUGGGGACCAGGACAGCAGCAUGGGGCAGGUCAGCCGAGUGCGCUUGGGCUAUCAACACCGACUAGGUAAUGCUUUCCUCCCCGACACGGGGCGGCUGUGCGCCCCACCCCCUCCUUGACACGGGCCGAUUGCCACCCCACAUCGAC